rnacentral:misc_RNA from 1 species
GUCUGUAUUUUCGAGCUAUCGCGGGGAGACGCGGUCGUUAGAAUACGCGUCAACGGGAGUCGUAAAUUCCCCUUUAGGAGCUCUAGGCCCUUGAGAGUUAUAGGAACUGUCGGAGUUCUGGAUAAUGUGAGAGCCUUAGGAGACUCUAGGCCGUGUAGGCACCUUGAGAGUUGUAGGAAACUCUGAGAGAUAUAGGAGCGGUGAGAGUUAUAGGGAAUGCAGGAACUCUAGGCACCGUGAGAAAUGAUGAAGGAACUCUGAGAGAUGCAGGAACGGUGAGAGCUAUACGGAUUAUAGGAACUCUAAGCACCGUGAGAGAAGACGUGACUCU